rnacentral:rRNA from 1 species
UACGUAGGGGGCAAGCGUUGUCCGGAAUUAUUGGGCGUAAAGCGCGCGUAGGCGGUUAGAUAAGUUGGAUGUGAAAGGCUACGGCUCAACCGUAGAGCGGCAUCCAAAACUGUUUAACUUGAGUGCAGCAGAGGAGAGUGGAAUUCCCGGUGUAGCGGUGGAAUGCGUAGAGAUCGGGAGGAACACCAGUGGCGAAGGCGACUCUCUGGGCUGCAACUGACGCUGAGGUGCGAAAGCGUGGGGAGCGAACAGG